GAUGAACGCUGGCGGCGUGCCUAAUACAUGCAAGUCGAGCGAACAGACGAGGAGCUUGCUCCUCUGACGUUAGCGGCGGACGGGUGAGUAACACGUGGAUAACCUACCUAUAAGACUGGGAUAACUUCGGGAAACCGGAGCUAAUACCGGAUAACAUGUUGAACCGCAUGGUUCAACAGUGAAAGACGGUUUUGCUGUCACUUAUAGAUGGAUCCGCGCCGCAUUAGCUAGUUGGUAAGGAAACGGCUUACCAAGGCAACGAUGCGUAGCCGACCUGAGAGGGUGAUCGGCCACACUGGAACUGAGACACGGUCCAGACUCCUACGGGAGGCAGCAGUAGGGAAUCUUCCGCAAUGGGCGAAAGCCUGACGGAGCAACGCCGCGUGAGUGAAGAAGGUCUUCGGAUCGUAAAACUCUGUUAUUAGGGAAGAACAAAUGUGUAAGUAACUAUGCACGUCUUGACGGUACCUAAUCAGAAAGCCACGGCUAACUACGUG
rnacentral:rRNA from 1 species